rnacentral:rRNA from 1 species
GAAAGUAAGCAAGGGCAGACGGUGGAUGCCUUGGCUCUCGGAGGCGAUGAAGGACGUGAUAAGCUGCGAAAAGCCCGGGGGAGGCGCAAAUAGCCCUUGAUCCCGGGAUAUCCGAAUGGGGCAACCCGGCAGGCUGAAGGCCUGCCAUCCCGUAAGGGAGGCGAACGUGGGGAACUGAAACAUCUAAGUACCCAUAGGAGGAGAAAAUAAACAAUGAUUCCGUAAGUAGUGGCGAGCGAACACGGAAGAGCCCAAACCCAUGUCGUCUAGGCGACACGGGGGUUGUAGGACCACGACGUGGCAAGAUAGAGUCAAGUGGAACGCCUUGGAAAAGGCGACCGUAGAGGGUGAUAGUCCCGUACACGACUGACGAUUGAAGCCUAGUGGCAUCCUGAGUAGCGCGGGACACGAGAAAUCUUGCGUGAAACUGCGGGGCCCAUCCCGUAAGGCUAAAUACUCCCGAGAGACCGAUAGCGAACCAGUACCGUGAGGGAAAGGUGAAAAGAACCCCGAGCAGGGGAGUGAAAUAGACCCUGAACCCGUCUGCCUACAAGCGGUCGGAGCGUCGUAAUGACGUGACGGCGUGCCUUUUGCAUAAUGAACCUACGAGUUACCUUCCCCGGCAAGGUUAAGUACCUAAGGUACGGAGCCGAAGCGAAAGCGAGUCUGAACAGGGCGCCAAGUCGGGGGGGGUAGACGCGAAACCGAGUGAUCUACCCUUGGCCAGGUUGAAGGUUGGGUAACACCAACUGGAGGACCGGAUGGGUAAGCGUUGAAAAGCUUUCCAAUGAGCUGAGGGUAGGGGUGAAAGGCUAAUCAAACUCGGAGAUAGCUCGUACUCCCCGAAAUGCAUUUAGGUGCAGCCUCUUUAUAGUAUAUCGUGAGGUAGAGCGACUGAUUGGAUGCGAGGGCUUCACCGCCUAUCAAGUCCAGAUAAACUCCGAAUGCGCGAUAUAUAUUUACAGGGAGUGAGGGCGCGGGUGCUAAGGUCCGUGUCCGAGAGGAGAAGAAUCCAGACCACCGGCUAAGGCCCCCAAAUGAUCGUUAAGUUGAACUAACGAGGUCGGAUCGCAGAGACAGCUAGGAUGUUGGCUUGGAAGCAGCCAUUCAUUUAAAGAGUGCGUAACAGCUCACUAGUCGAGCGAUCUGGCGUGGAUAAUAAUCGGGCAUAAACGAUCUGCCGAAGCCGUGGAUGUCGCAAGACAUGGUAGGGGAGCAUUCCAUGCCGCGUCGAAGAUGAGGGAUGACCCUUGUUGGAGCGCAUGGAAAAGCAAAUGUAGGUAUGAGUAACGAUAAGGGGGGCGAGAUACCCCCCCGCCGAAAGACCAAGGUUUCCUGAUCAACGCUAAUCGGAUCAGGGUGAGUCGGGACCUAAGGCAAAGCCGAACGGCGCCGCCGAUGGAAGAAUGGGUUAAUAUUCCCAUACUGCCUCAUGGAGUGACGUGGAGACGGAGAAGUGACAGUCCUGCCGGCUGACGGAAUAGCCGGUUGAAGGGUGUAGAUAUUGAUUCCCGUAGGCAAAUCCGCGGGGAGAGUCGAACCUGACAGUAUACCGAGUACUUGUACGAGGUAAUAUGGACGUAACCAUGCUCCCGAGAAAAUCCGCUAAACUUAUCCAUGCGGCACCCGUACCGUAAACGGACACACGUGGUCGGGUUGAGAAUACUGAGGCGCUCGAGUGACUCACGGUUAAGGAACUAGGCAAAUUGACCCUGUAACUUCGGGAUAAAGGGUCCUCGUCGUAAGGCGAGGCGCAGAGAAUAGGUCCAGGCAACUGUUUAACAAAAACACAUGGCUGUGCUAAAUGGAAACAUGACGUAUACAGCCUGACACCUGCCCGGUGCUGGAAGGUUAAGAGGAGAUGUCAUCGCAAGAGAAGCGUUGAAUUGAAGCCCCAGUAAACGGCGGCCGUAACUAUAACGGUCCUAAGGUAGCGAAAUUCCUUGUCGGGUAAGUUCCGACCUGCACGAAUGGUGUAAUGAUCUGGACACUGUCUCAACCGUGAGCU